AUUGAACGCUGGCGGCAUGCUUUACACAUGCAAGUCGAACGGUAACAGGCCGCAAGGUGCUGACGACUGGCGAACGGGUGAGUAAUGCAUCGGAACGUGCCCAGUCGUGGGGGAUAACGCAGCGAAAGCUGCGCUAAUACCGCAUACGAUCUAUGGAGGAAAGCGGGGGACCGUAAUGCCUCGCGCGAUUGGAGCGGCCGGUGUCAGAUUAGGUAGUUGGUGGGGUAAAGGCCCACCAAGCCGACGAUCUGUAGCUGGGCGGAGAGGACGACCAGCCACACUGGGACUGAGACAAGGCGCAGACGCCUACGGGAGGCAGCAGUGGGGAAUUGUGGACAAGGGGCGCAAGCCUGAUCCAGCAAUGCCGCGUGCAGGAAGAAGGCCUUCGGGUUGUAAACUGCUUUUGUACGGAGCGAAAAGGCUCUGGUUAAUGCCCGGGGCUCAUGACGGUACCGUAAGAAUAAGCACCGGCCAACUACGUGCCAGCCGCCGCCGUAAGAC
rnacentral:rRNA from 1 species